rnacentral:rRNA from 1 species
CCGGUAAAGGAUGGGGAUGCGUCUGAUUAGCUUGCCGGCGGGGUAACGGCCCACCGGGGCGACGAUCAGUAGGGGUUCUGAGAGGAAGGUCCCCCACAUUGGAACUGAGACACGGUCCAAACUCCUACGGGAGGCAGCAGUGAGGAAUAUUGGUCAAUGGGCGCGAGCCUGAACCAGCCAAGUAGCGUGCAGGACGACGGCCCUAUGGGUUGUAAACUGCUUUUAUACGGGGAUAAAGUAUGCCACGUGUGGUUUAUUGCAGGUACCGUAUGAAUAAGGACCGGCUAAUUCCGUGCCAGCAGCCGCGGUAAUACGGAAGGUCCGGGCGUUAUCCGGAUUUAUUGGGUUUAAAGGGAGCGUAGGCCGGGUUUUAAGCGUGCCGUGAAAUGUCGGGGCUCAACCUUGACACUGCGGCGCGAACUGGAGUCCUUGAGUGCGCGGAACGUAUGCGGAAUUCGUGGUGUAGCGGUGAAAUGCUU